rnacentral:rRNA from 1 species
UCGGGUGACUAGAGCGGGGUGGAACCACCCGUAUCCUUCCCGAACACGGAAGUGAAACGCCCCAGCGCUGACGAUACUGUCCUCGUGAGGGGGUGGGAAAAUAAGCCGUCGCCCGGG